rnacentral:rRNA from 1 species
AACGAACGCUGGCGGCAUGCCUAACACAUGCAAGUCGAACGAGACCUUCGGGUCUAGUGGCGCAAGGGUGCGUAACGCGUGGGAACCUGCCCUUAGGUUGGGAAAACUCCUCCAAAGGGGGGGCUAAAACCGGAAAACUUUUUCGAACAAAAGGUUUAUCCCCUUUGAGUGGGCCCGCGUUGGUUUAGCUAGUUGGUAGGGUAAAAGCCUACCAAGGCGACGAUCCAUAGCGGGUCUGAGAGGAUGAUCAGCCACACUGGGACUGGGACACGGCCCGGACUCCUACGGGAGGCAGCAGUGGGGAAUAUUGGACAACGGGCGAAAGCCUGAUCCAGCAAGGCCGCGUGAGUGAUGAAGGCCUUAGGGUUGUAAAGCUCUUUUACCCGGGAUGAUAAUGACGGUACCGGGAGAAUAAGCUCCGGCUAACUCCGUG